rnacentral:rRNA from 1 species
GACGGGUAGCCGGCCUGAGAGGGCGACCGGCCACACUGGGACUGAGAUACGGCCCAGACUCNUUACGGGAGGCAGCAGUGGGGAAUAUUGCGCAAUGGGCGAAANCCUGACGCAGCGACGCCGCGUGAGGGAUGAAGGCCUUCGGGUUGUAAACCUCUUUCAGCAGGGACGAAGCGAAAGUGNCUGUACCUGCAGAAGAAGCACCGGCUAACUACGUGCCAGCAGCCGCGGUAAUACGUAGGGUGCAAGCGUUGUCCGGAAUUAUUGGGCGUAAAGAGCUCGUAGGCGGUUUGUCGCGUCGGAUGUGAAAACUUGGGGCUCAACCCCAAGCCUGCAUUCGAUACGGGCAAACUAGAGUUCGGUAGGGGAGACUGGAAUUCCU